UACGUAGGGUGCGAGCGUUAAUCGGAAUUACUGGGCGUAAAGGGCGCGUAGGCGGCCUGUUAAGUCGAACGUGAAAUCCCCGGGCUCAACCUGGGAACUGCGUCGGAUACUGGAUGGCUUGAAUUCGGGAGAGGGAUGCAGAAUUCCAGGUGUAGCGGUGAAAUGCGUAGAUAUCUGGAGGAAUACCGGUGGCGAAGGCGGCAUCCUGGACCGACAUUGACGCUGAGGAGCGAAAGCUAGGGGAGCAAACGGG
rnacentral:rRNA from 1 species